rnacentral:rRNA from 1 species
AAAGUUCCCUUCGGGGAGCAAGUAGAGUGGCGCACGGGUGAGUAACACGUAGGUAAUCUACCUUUGGAUGGGGAAUAACAACCGGAAACGGUUGCUAAUACCGCAUAAUGCAGCGGCACCUAAUGGUGACAGUUGUUAAAGCGGGGGAUCGAAAGACCUCGCGUCUAAAGAGGAGCCUGCGGCGGAUUAGCUAGUUGGUAAGGUAAUGGCUUACCAAGGCGAUGAUCCGUAACCGGCCUGAGAGGGCGGUCGGUCACACUGACACUGAUAUACGGGUCAGACUCCUACGGGAGGCAGCAGUCGGGAAUUUUGGGCAAUGGGCGAAAGCCUGACCCAGCAACGCCGCGUGAAGGAUGAAAUCCCUCGGGAUGUAAACUUCGCAAGAACAGGAAGAAUAAGUAGGGGAUAAUACCCUCUAUGAUGACGGUACUGUUUGUAAGCUCCGGCUAACUCCGUGCCAGCAGCCGCGGUAAUACGGGGGGAGCAAGCGUUGUUCGGAUUUACUGGGCGUAAAGGGCGCGUAGGCGGCCACCGCAAGUCGGUUGUGAAAUCUCUGGGCUUAACCCAGAAAGGUCAACCGAUACUGCGGGGCUAGAGUGCAGAAGGGGCAACUGGAAUUCUCGGUGUAGCGGUGAAAUGCGUAGAUAUCGAGAGGAACACCUGCGGCGAAGGCGGGUUGCUGGGCUGACACUGACGCUGAAGCGCGAAAGCUAGGGGAGCGAACGGGAUUAGAUACCCCGGUAGUCCUAGCCUUAAACGAUGAAUGCUUGGUGUCUGGGGUUUUAUAGUCCCCGGGUGCCGUCGCUAACGCUUUAAGCA